UUUACUAUAAAAUCCUGUUGAUCCGCUCCCUGUGGACGUUGUGCCUGUGAAGCGUCUCUGUGCACAUGCAUACGUCAAACUACGGUGUUGUGUGUCUGGCUUUGGAAACUGUAUGUUUCAUUGCUAUCAGGUUCUGCCUCAUUUUCUCUGUGCUGCGCUACUGAGUCCACAAAGGACGGAACAGUUCUGUCCGCAGAUUGAGUGUUGUGCGUUUGUGUUGUUUCCGUAAGUGAUUGGGUGUUCACGGCGUGGCAGGUGCCGGUUGUGGCGGUGUAGCAUUCUGGUUGCCGACAUACCCAGCUGAUGUGGUGAAGAGUCGACACCAGGUCAAUGUUGCCGCCGGCAAGCCAAAGAAUUUCUUCAGCGGGUUCAUGAAAAUAGGGCACAUAUGUACAUGGAAGGCAUGCGUGGUGUGUAUCGGGGGAUAACGCCUUCCCAGCCAGCGGCGCUCUGUUCUACUCCGUUGAGCUAACCCGUAGGAUCUCGGAAUGAAGGAACUACAUGUAGUGUGUGUGUGCGCGUGCGUGCGUGCGUGGUGCUGGUGUCCCCGCUAGACUCGUCCGCAUUAUUCAAGCUUUUCACGGCAACAUGAAGGCAUCACUGGUACUGGCGGGAGCUGACGUUGACGCUGUUGAUGUGAACAAUGGUUUGCGUCAAGGAUGCUGCAUGGCACCAGUCUUGUUUUUAACAUAUCUACAUAUGGGCUAUGUUCCGGCAAUGGUACAAGGCGAUUGCAGACAUUCCGGAUAUCGGGUUUCCUGUGGCGAUGAAUGCUGGUGGUCGGCUACUAUUCCGCAGGUCACGUACGGACGUUGUGAAACGGCACGACGACUGCCAGUUUGCUGACGACUCUGCACUGGUUGCCACCUCCCAUGAGUGUGCGCAACAGGCUCCGACUGCUUUUGUGCGUGUUGCUGGUGCAUUUGGCCUGAAGGUGAAUCUCGCAAAGACCAAGGUCAUGCCGGUCGGCUACGGACUUACAGCACAUGACCGCUUGCCUUUGAUGGUAGUGGGUGAUAUUAUUGAGAGCGGGGCUGACUUCAAGUAUCUCGGCUCCAGUACAUACGGAUGGUCGAUUGGCUCAUAAUAUCAAGUCACACAUUGCUGGAGCAUCGAGGGCCUUUGGGGUUCCAGGCCAUGCACAGCUAUCUGAUUUGAUCUCCUUUCUUUCUAGGACCUACCAGAUAGCAACGAUUUAAAGGUUUUUCCUGUUCUAACACUUACUCAUUUUUUUUCCUUUUACCAGUAUUUAUUUCUUCUAGACCCUGUCAAUGCUUGGGAUUGUCCCUGCAGCACAGUAUUGUUUUUUUGUUUUGUUUUGUUUUGUGUGUAAGGCAGUCUUUUCUGCCUGUU